UUUCUUUCAUGAAGCAAAUCAAAAAAGUCGGUACAAUUUUAUUAAUAAAAGUGCGAAAUAUUUUCAAGAUUUUGAGCAACCUUGAUACAAGUUUCUUUGAAGAUCUUUUUUAUUUGAUUACUUAUAGUGAAAUCCGAUGAAGGAUAUCAUAAUCGUAGACGUCGUGCUUCUAAAAUGAUGCUUUGUAGGAGAAUUUUGCGAAAAUCACAUGAAGUACUGCGAGUCGAAGUUGUCAAAAUACAGAGUAUAGUAUUUAUUGGAUCUAAUAUAAGUGUUGCAUCAGAUGUUGCAGAUCAGAUAAUUAACUGUACUUUUUUCAGGCUCUCUCAGAGCACGCAACGAAGACGGUGAAAAAUUUGGCAUUCUCCAUUCUACAAAAAGGACGCAUAUUUUUAUUUACGAAUUCUAUUAGUUGACGCAUUUUAGAGAGAUUUUUUUCGUUGUCUAUAAUAAGAAAAUAGAAUGAAAUAAAAUCCUAUUUCCAUUUUUUACUUAAA